UGUCACACGACUCUCGGCAACGGAUAUCUAGGCUCUCGCAUCGAUGAAGAACGUAGCAAACUGCGAUACUUGGUGUGAAUUGCAGAAUCCCGUGAACCAUCGAGUCUUUGAACGCAAGUUGCGCCCGAAGCCGUUAGGCCGAGGGCACGUC
rnacentral:rRNA from 1 species